UUUAGUCCUCAUUGAAAGCAUGACCUCUCCUAUUGCCUGCCCCGAACAACCAAAGAAUAAACAGUAUCAUUCUGCUACCUCAUAUGGUCUGUCUCGGAAUCCCCAGCCUCAAGCAGGAAGGCAAGAGCCAAGGGCAAAGACUCAUCGAAAUCACGAAGGCCUCUUCCAGGAACGAAG
rnacentral:lncRNA from 14 species